CCCUAUGGGGUGCAGCAGGCUUGUGAGGGAAGACCUGUUUUUAAUGUUCAGCGCUUACAAUCAGUUCACACUUCUUCACAGUCGUUUAACAAUGAUUUCCUAUAAUGGAGACGAUCAAUGAGGAGAGAGGGGAUCUUGAAUGGCAUACGACAGUCGUUUUGAUGAAUGGGUACAGAAACUGAAAGAGGAAAGCUUUCAAAACAAUACGUUUGACCGCCGCAAAUUUAUUCAAGGAGCGGGGAAGAUUGCAGGACUUUCUCUUGGAUUAACGAUUGCCCAGUCGGUUGGGGCCUUUGAAGUAAAUGCUGCGCCUAAAUUCUCAAGCUAUCCGUUUACAUUAGGGGUAGCGUCAGGUGAUCCGCUUUCUGACAGUGUCGUGCUUUGGACACGUCUGGCACCAGAUCCGCUGAAUUGGCGGGAGAGC
rnacentral:rRNA from 1 species